UACGGAGGGUGCGAGCGUUGUCCGGAAUUACUGGGCGUAAAGGGCGCGUAGGCGGACAGCUUAGUCAGAGGUGAAAGCCCAGGGCUCAACCUUGGAAUUGCCUUUGAUACUGGCUAUCUUGAGUUCGGGAGAGGUGAGUGGAAUGCCGAGUGUAGAGGUGAAAUUCGUAGAUAUUCGGCGGAACACCAGUGGCGAAGGCGACUCACUGGCCCGAUACUGACGCUGAGGCGCGAAAGCGUGGGGAGCAAACAGG
rnacentral:rRNA from 1 species